UACGUAGGGUGCGAGCGUUGUCCGGAAUUAUUGGGCGUAAAGGGCUCGUAGGCGGUUUGUCGCGUCGGGAGUGAAAUCCACUGGCUUAACUGGUGGCUUGCUUUCGGUACGGGCAGACUGGAGGUAUGCAGGGGAGAACGGAAUUCCUGGUGUAGCGGUGAAAUGCUCAGAUAUCAGGAGGAACACCGGUGGCGAAGGCGGGUCUCUGGGCCGAUACUGACGCUGAGGAGCGAAAGCGUGGGGAGCGAACAGG
rnacentral:rRNA from 1 species